GACGAACGCUGGCGGCGUGCUUAACACAUGCAAGUCGAACGGAAAGGCCCUGCUUUUGUGGGGUGCUCGAGUGGCGAACGGGUGAGUAACACGUGAGUAACCUGCCCAUGACUUUGGGAUAACUUCAGGAAACUGGGGCUAAUACCGGAUAGGAGCUCCUGCUGCAUGGUGGGGGUUGGAAAGUUUCGGCGGUUGGGGAUGGACUCGCGGCUUAUCAGCUUGUUGGUGGGGUAGUGGCUUACCAAGGCUUUGACGGGUAGCCGGCCUGAGAGGGUGACCGGCCACAUUGGGACUGAGAUACGGCCCAGACUCCUACGGGAGGCAGCGGUGGGGAAUAUUGCACAAUGGGCGGAAGCCUGAUGCAGCAACGCCGCGUGCGGGAUGACGGCCUUCGGGUUGUAAACCGCUUUCGCCUGUGACGAAGCGUGAGUGACGGUAACGGGUAAAGAAGCACCGGCUAACUACGUG
rnacentral:rRNA from 1 species